UGCUGGGCACAGCGGGACGGAAAUGGCUUGGUGUCCAUCACUGUGUCAGAAUGGAAUAAAGCUGUGAUGCACUCUGGCCUUGAGCCACAGGCUUGCCACCAUACAUUUGUCAUUUCUCUGCCUCCUCCAGCUCUGUCCCUCCAUUUUCUUCUCACACGCUCACUUUCUCUUAUGCAAAACUCUUGACAGCGAGAAACACAAUUCUGGAGGAAUCCACUAAACCCACAUACCUUGCUGGAGAACGCUCUUCGGAUCGCUGGAUCCUAAGAGUGUCAAAUGUCUUUUCUGCUGGAAGUAGCCAUCAGAAGACGACCCUACGCUGUGGACAUAAAAGGCUCGAUCCGGUCAGCAAUGAUACUUGGGGCAG